rnacentral:lncRNA from 1 species
CUCAGCUUAGAGAACAGGAAGUGGGAGCCACAUACCCCGAGCUGGCGGCUUGAGCCUGUGGUAUCUAGGCUCACCUCACUGCGGUUGGUGGAGGUGAUGGAGGUUGCAGCUUGGCCAGCAUGGUAGAAAGGUGGCAGGGCACGUCUGGCUUUUACCACCCAGUUGCUUCGAGCCAGGAGAUGGAGGAGUCAUCUGUUGCACGCUGGAGGCUGGAGCCUGCAGAUGGCAUGGUUCUGUGGCUCACCUCGCUGCAGUUGGUGGCAGAGACAGAGACUGCAGCUUGACCAGAGUGGUGGAGUGGUUGGAGUGCAGUGGCAUGAUCUUGACUCACUGCAACCUCCACCUCCCGGGUUCAAGCCAUUCUCUUCCCUCAGCCUCCUCAGUAGCUGGAUUACAGGUACCUCCCACCACACCCAGGUAACUUUUUUGUGUUUUUUAGCAGAGAGAGUUCACCGUGUUGGCCAGGC